UUGGUUGAAGUCUGUAUGUGACGACUCAAUGUUCGGUGCUGACGUGCUUGUGUUCGGACGCUGUGAGGUCAUCACCUGAGGUAGCAUCGGUUGUGGGGCCUCCACCACCGGCCAAAUCUACCAAUGGUUUUGAGUCGUGUUAUCCAUUGGUUUUCCAGAGUCAGGCGUCGUUGGUGAUUUUCUUCGAUUUGGAUCGGUGUUAUUUUCCAAAGUCCCUUUGAGUUGUGGUUUCGUUCGUUACAAUGUAAGUAGAUCUUUUUUGUGUCUUGUGAUCGCAGUUUGUUGCGGUGGUGUCUCAUACGGACUCUGAGUGUGCCUCCUGUUUGUCCAACGUAUUGCUUGUGACAUCUGGGUACAUCACACUGGGUAUGACUUGCCCGUGGUGGUGCUGCGGAUGGCAGAACAAAUCGUGAUCUGAUGGCAUAUUCCGCAUUGUGUGUGGUUGCAAGUUGUCGUGACUGGCGUAAUGGCGAGUCUGGGUACUGGGACGUCGCUGUUUUUUACGUCUUUUAUUGGCAAUCAUUGGUGGGUGACAUCCAAGUAUUGAUUCGAGUUGGGGGUCGCUGUCGAUCAUGAUUUGCCAUUGUCUGUGGAUCAGUUGUUUGAUGUUUGGGAACCAGGAGAUAUGAAGUCAUUUGAGUCCCGGAUGUAACUGUUCUGUGUGAGUGCAAUUGGUUUGAGAAGAUAGUCUACGAAUUGAGAAAUGGCUUCAGUCGGUCCUGAGCAACCAGACACGAUUGGUCGAUAUGCAACUGGAGUUUUGUGUAUUUUACUGAGAAAAUAGAGUUGUUGUGUUCGUACUUUAGAUGGUUUAAGUUGGAAAAGGAAUUGUAGUGUC